AGUGAACGCUGGCGGUAGGCCUAACACAUGCGAGUCGAACGGCAGCACAGUAGGAGCUUGCUCUUACGGGUGGCGAGUGGCGGACGGGUGAGGAAUACAUCGGAAUCUACUUUUUCGUGGGGGAUAACGUAGGGAAACUUACGCUAAUACCGCAUACGACCUACGGGUGAAAGCAGGGGAUCUUCGGACCUUGCGCGAUUGAAUGAGCCGAUGUCGGAUUAGCUAGUUGGCGGGGUAAAGGCCCACCAAGGCGACGAUCCGUAGCUGGUCUGAGAGGAUGAUCAGCCACACUGGGACUGAGACACGGUCCAGACUCCUACGGGAGGCAGCAGUGGGGAAUAUUGGACAAUGGGCGCAAGCCUGAUCCAGCCAUACCGCGUGGGUGAAGAAGGCCUUCGGGUUGUAAAGCCCUUUUGUUGGGAAAGAAAAGCAGCAGGUUAAUACCCCGCUGUUCUGACGGUACCCAAAGAAUAAGCACCGGCUAACUUCGUG
rnacentral:rRNA from 1 species